rnacentral:lncRNA from 1 species
AUGAACUUUUUGGCCAACCCAAUACUUAUUUUAAAAAACCCUUUAAGGAGACAAAAACCAUGCAGCGAACAGAUUUACCCACCGCGCCAGGCAGCUCUUUCCAAUUUCCUGCCUGUAUUCCCAGUAAGUUGGACAAGGAGUGCUGACCCCAGAGCCUCACUCAUGGUGACUGUCAGGACUCAACAACGGAGUGCUGACCCCAGAGCCUCACUCAUGGUGACUGUCAGGACUCAACAACGGGGUGCUCCUGGACCAGCACCUCCAGAACCGCAGGCCCUGAGGGCCACCCCAACCAGUCGGAAGAAGUGGGAGGCGCACACAAAUGGGCUGACUAGCUUUCAGUGGUUCACCUCCCCACAGGAAUCUUUCUGCCGCCUCCUCACAUUCCUGUAAAGCUUUGAAGUUUUAUUUAUCUGUUUUUCCUAAACACUUAGUGAAGGGAAUGGCUACCCACUCCAGUAUCCUGGCCUGGAGAAUUCCAUGGGCAGAGGAGCUUGGUGGGCUACAGUUCAUGGGGCCGCAAAGAGUCGGACAUGACUGAGAAAUUUUCACCUUCACUUUAGCUGUAUGAGACUAGCUGUAAUGGCUCCCUGGGGGCUUGCUUGCUGUCUGUUUUAAAUUCUUAUGAUUAAAAAACUUUGAGGCACUGAAUUGGGAUGGUAUUUACAACAGCUUUACAUAACUGAAAGGUGAAGGGGAGGCUCAAAGUUCACACAAAUGCACGCAUGCAUGUACACUUGCGUUGGCCUCUGUGAAGCUAGAGUGGAAUAUUAAAUAUCAAGUAUUGAAUUUUGGGGGUGGCUUCCCAGGUGGCUCAGUGGUAAAGAAUCCACUUGCCAAUGCAGGAUAAUGUUCGAUCUCUGAAUCAGGAAGAUCACCUGAAGGAGGAAAUAGCAACCCACUCCAGUAUUCUUCCUGAAAAAUUCCAGAGGACCCUCACAGGCUACUGUCCAGAGGGUCACAAAGAGUUGGACCCAACUAAGUGGCUGAGCACACAGGCACACACUGAAUUUCUAACUGUAAACUUAAGAGCUUGUCCCUAACUUUACAUGUAUACAGAUAACAGAAUGGUCACUACAAGCACUUUAAUAUCAAAACAGAUGUUAAAUGUUAAGGUUCUUAUUUAAACUGCUCUACAUACAAAAUGCCCUAGAAGCAAAGAAAGGCUUAAACAUAGAGAGAUAAACAUAAUGUAGAGUGUGUCUGACCUCCUUGUAUCGGCUCUGGAAGAAGGAGAAGAGCACACACAGGUAAAAAAAAGCCACACACUCAGAGGUAGUAGGAGCUGACAGCGAGGCUGUGGUCUGGACUGACCCUCUCCAGCGAACUGUUCAGUUCCCUCUGGGUGUCUGUUUCCCUCCUUCAUAUAUCCACUCACCAGGCUGGUGACGAUGAAGGCCCACAGCUCCCAGUCAUUAGUGAGCCUCAAAGCUGUGGUGAACUGGACUUCAGCGCUGUCCAUGCCCUUGGCAGAGACACAGGCCAGGCCCCGCAGGGUACGCAGCUGAGUUCUGCGGCUAGGAGGGUCGGAAGGCGGGGGUCGCGGUGCCGGCGCAGCCAACAGACCUGGGAGAUCUCCUGCAGUCCAGUGGCCUGUAAACUCUGCCCAGCCUACACAUGCUGGUGUACUUACGCAGGAUUUUUUGGAAGGAGGACAGGAUGGACUGCAAUCGAG